CUAUGAUUGACAGCGGCGCGAGCCAAUAGCGAUAAGCAGGAGGAGGGGCAGCACAUGGCUCGGAGGCCGCGUGGGCGAACGCGCUUUAUUGAUGUGGGGGAGGGGCUGGGGGGGGUCCCCAAACUGAGGGGGAGGCUCAGGAUCGACCCCCCCAAAACCUGAGCAGGGGUUUGAGCGUCCUCACGGCCACAAUCCUGGGGUUUGUCCCCACAUCCUCCUUAGGUGUCCCCCAAAUCCUCCUUAGGUGUCCCCCAAAUCCUUGGGUGUCCCCCAAAUCCUUGGGUGUCCCCCAAUUCCUUGGUGUCCCCAAAUCCCCUCAGGUGUCCCCAAAUCCUUGGGUGUCCCCAAGUCCUUGGGUGUCCCCAAAUCCCCUCAGGUGUCCCCAAAUCCUUGGGUGUCCCCAAAUCCUUGGUGUCCCCACUUUUGGAGGGGGGUUGUGUCCACUCAGGGGGGGUUCGUGUCCCCUCAGGACCCUCAGGACAAAAUGUCCCCACAGUGUCCCCCAAAUCCUUGGGUGUCCCCAUUUCAUUGGUGUCCCCAAAUCCCCUCAUGUGUCCUCAAAUCCCUGGUGUCCCCACUUUUGGGGGGUUGUGUCCCCUCAGGAGAUUUGUGUCCCCUCAGCACAAAAUGUCCCCACACAGCGUCCCCAUCAUUGUCCCCGCAGCGUUGGAGUGUCCCCGUUGAUCCUCGCAGCGUCCUCUCCGUCACCUCUCCCACCCCAGAUUUCUGGGGUUCCCCUGAAGAAUUUUUGGGGUUCCCCUGAAGAAUUUUGGGGUUCCCGGGUUUUGGGGCUCAGGGCUGCAUCCUCAGGGCCCCGUCCAGCCUCACCACCUCGCCGUUGACCAUGGGGUUCUCGGCCAGGGCCUGCACCAGGUGCGCGAACUCGGCGGGGUCCCCGAGGCGGGACGGGAACGGCACCUGCUGGCCCAGGAAGCGCCGAACCUUCUCUGGGAGCCCGGCCAGGAGAGGGGUGGAGAACAGCCCUGGGA
rnacentral:lncRNA from 1 species